ensembl:lncRNA
GAGGCCUAGCCCGCGGGGCCGGAGGCCCGGAGGCCUGUCGGUGUCGCCAGCUGUGUCUCCACCCCGGACUUGGGGCCGGUGCGGACAGACAGACAGACAGCCCUCCAUCCCACCCCCACCCCACCCCAGGAAAUGGAAAGGGUCCGAGUGUGGUUCGCUUGUCACGCGCUUGCCCGCCUGCCUGCGCUCACUUAAGUGUUGACGGUUACCUCUGGUCGCAAGCAGGCAGAGUGAGUGUCCCAGCACAUCGCUCUGCCUCAGCUUCCGGGACUCCUUUGUAGUCAGCCCUGCCCAGACCCCCUCUGCAGUGACGGAGCCCACAGAGAUUCCCGUGGACUGCCGCUAACAGGCCCCAUUUUGUUUAGCCCUCACUUGCCCCACUUGGGGUGUGAUUUCUUGUCUGUUUCGUUGUCCCUUUUGUAACAUCCAUUCUUUCACAGUUGGCAUGGCCUGAAGCAGAGUGUGGUGACUCAAGCCUAAUUUAAUCCCAUCACUUGGAAGCCUGAGACUUGUGGGAAAGCUGUAAUUGUAAUGUUGAAGCCUACCUGGGCUAUAUGGUGGAAUCCAACAGACAGACUCAGUAGGGCCAGCUGCCCCUGUCUGUGCUGCCUCUGCAGUUGAAAGAUAUGGAUGACCGCCUCCAAGUGCUGGGCAACUCCCUGUCCAAAUCAUGACACACAGGGAAAGAGUCCUCCCAUCCCUGAAUGUCUCUCCUCUUCUCUGGCUGCUUGUGUUUGGUGUCUAGCAGACUGGUGAUGGUGUCCCUGUGUGUGGAUCUUCCGCUCACACUCCCAGACAUUCUUUGCUAGUCUCAGGAUUGUUUUUAGACAUUGUUUCUUUUUUCUUCUUUUUUUUUGUUUUUUGUUUUGUUUUGUUUUGUUUUUUCGAGACAGGGUUUCUCUGUAUAGCUUUGGAGCCUGUUCUGGAACUCGCUCAGUAAACCAGGAGAUCCUCCUACCUACCUCUGCCUCCCAAGUGCUUGGAUUAAAAGCAUAUGCCACCACUGUCCAGCUAGAAAUUAUUUCUAUAACUAUGACUUCAGCCUCUUUUAUGGAAUUAUCCACUUAGGUUUUUUUUUUUUUUUUUAAUAUGUUGUCUCUUUCACAUUCCCUGACUCCACUCUAGUUAAAAGUCCUUAAUUUUUCUGGAACUAAUUUUUUUUCUUGUAGCCAGUUAACCUAACCAUUGAAACUGGAGGCUCAAUCUUCUCUAUCUCUCUUUUUUUCUUUUCUUUUUUUUUUUUUUUUUUGGUUUUUUUCGAGACAGGGUUUUUCUGUUAGUUUGGAGGCUGUUCUGGAACUCGCUCUAGGCUGGCCCGGAACUCACAGAGAUCCGCCUGCCCCUGCCUCCCGAGUGCUGGGAUUAAAGGCUUGUGCAUCACCAAUGCCUGGCUGUUUGAUUGCUUUUUUAUUUGUUUACUUAGAAUAUCUCACUUAGCCUUGAGUGGCUUGAAUCUCACUAGGUAGCCCAAGCUUUGAAUUUACAGCAACCCUCAUGUCUUGGCCUCCCAAGUGCUGCAAUCAGAGGAAUGAUUUACAAUACUCUGCAGUUUUUCCAACUUCUAAUUAUAAUGUUAUCAAGCAUAAAGUUUAGAAAACAAAAUAAACACAUUGAUC